UAUGGGAGCGCAUCUCGCGAACGUGAUGACGUAGGUAGCGCGGUCGUCCGCCUCACCGCAACAGUGGUCUGGUGCCCUUGAGCGGAGACUGACUCUCACAGACGUAGCUAUCCAGCUAACGACAGCGGACACUCGUUCAUAGUGCGUAGGCGUGUAGCUCACUUUUUACCACGUUUCGUUUUUCCACAACAAAAGGCCAUCUGGAGUUUGUCUUAUGUUUUGGUGAAAACAACGAGGGUUCAUUUUUCAGGAGUGCACUGUUUAGCCUUUUGUUUCAUGCUAUUUAGCUCUUUUUUAGAUGCUUUUUUAGCUAGUCUGGUAGCUAGCUACCACGUUUUUCCACAUCAAAAAGCCCUCUGGAGUUUCACUUUUUAAUUCUUCUUGGUGCAAGCAAAGCUGUUUCGUUUUUUCAGCAAUACCUACAAGUGUCUUCCUCAACAAAGACCUCUGAAGAAAGAGGAUUCGUUUCUACAGAAAUGGCUGCGUUUGGUGAUUCUACAAAGAGCUGGGACAACGUGGCUGUGUUA